rnacentral:rRNA from 1 species
GAUGAACGCUGGCGGCGUGCCUAAUACAUGCAAGUUGUGCGGUAACAGAGAGAGCUUGCUCUCUGCUGACGAGCGGCGGACGGGCAGAGUAACGCGUAGGAACAUACCCCAAACUGAGGGAUAACUGCUCGAAAGAGUAGCUAAUACCGCAUGUGGUCUUCGGAUUAAAGCUUCGGCGGUUUGGGAGUGGCCUGCGUCCGAUUAGCUAGUUGGUGAGGUAAUUGCUCACCAAGGCGACGAUCGGUAGCUGGUCUGAGAGGAUGAUCAGCCUGACUGGAACUGAGAACGGUCCAGACUCCUACGGAGGCAGCAGUAGGGAAUUUUCC